GCCACAGACCGCUUUGUCGCCCUUCGGGGAGGAAAGUCCGGACAACACAGAGCACCGUACCACCUAACGGGUGGAGUUUCCGAUAAAAUCGGGAGCCUGGAAAGUGUCGCAGAAAAUAACUUCCUGCAAGUUUUCUUGCGGGUAAAGGUGAAAACGUGCGGUAAGAGCGCACGACUGCAGCAGGCAACUGUUGUGGUGGAUAAACCCUACGGGUUGAAAUGCCAUGUAUACCUUGUUUGCCUCAACGGCAUUUAUGCUGCUCGCAUAUUCCCUUUUUGGGAGCAAGGGGGGUAGGCAGCGUUAGAUAAAUGACAAAGGCUCCGGGAAACCGGGGAACAAAAUCCGGCUUACAGGUCUGUGGCUUUU
rnacentral:RNase_P_RNA from 1 species